GAUGUGUGCAAUGGUGCAUACCUAUAGUCCCAACUACUCUGGAGGCUAAGGCAGUAGGAUAACUUGAGUCCAGGAGUUCUGGGCUGUAGUGCACUAUGCUGAUCAGUGUUUGCACAAAGUUCAGCAUCAAUAUGGUGACUUCUCGGGAGCUGGGAUCACCAGGUUGCCUGAGAAGGGGUUAACCACCCCAGGUAGGAAACAGAGCAGGUCAAAACUCCAGUAUUGAUCAGUAGUGGGAUGGUGCCUACGAAUAGCCGCUGCACUCCAGCCUGGGCAACCUAGAGAGAACCUCAUCU
rnacentral:SRP_RNA from 10 species